AAGCCUUUUGCGAGUGUCAAAUUGAUUUGAAUCUAUUUGAAAGUAUUUGAAAGUGUUCUAAUAAGUUUCGAACCCUAAAUGCAUAAAAAAUUGAGUUGCAACAAUAUGGAGUGACCCAUCUGGAUCAUCCCUUUUUAUUGAGUAGCCGGCAUGCUUCAUUUUGGCUAAUAGCAUGCAGUGGGAUGACCCACUUAGGAUGACCCAUCUGAGAUGACCCCU
rnacentral:lncRNA from 1 species